UACGUAGGUGGCAAGCGUUGUCCGGAUUUACUGGGCGUAAAGGGCGUGCAGGCGGUUUGUUAAGUGCAGAGUGAAAGCUCCCGGCUCAACUGGGAGAGGUCUUUGCAUACUGGCAAACUCGAGGGAGGCAGAGGAAAGUGGAAUUCCCGGUGUAGUGGUGAUAUGCGUAGAUAUCGGGAGGAACACCUGUGGCGAAGGCGGCUCUCUGGGCCUGUCCUGACGCUCAGGCGCGAAAGCUAGGGGAGCGAACAGG
rnacentral:rRNA from 1 species